rnacentral:rRNA from 1 species
CCUACGGGAGGCAGCAGUGAGGAAUAUUGGUCAAUGGACGAGAGUCUGAACCAGCCAAGUAGCGUGAAGGAUGACUGCCCUAUGGGUUGUAAACUUCUUUUAUCAAGGAAUAACACGAUCCACGUGUGCCUUUUUGCAUAUUCCUUAUGAAUAAGUCUCGGCUUACUCCGUGCCCGCCGCCGCGGUAAUACGGAGGAUCGGAGUGUUAUUCGGAUUUUUUGGGUUUAAAGGGAUCGUAGAUGGGUUGUUGAGUCAGUUGUGAAAGUUUGCGGCUCAACCGUAAAAUUGCAAGUGAUACUGGCAGUCUUGAGUACAGUUGAGGUAAGCGGAAUGCGUGGUGUAGCGGUGAAAUGAAUAGAUAUCACGAAGAACCACGAUUGCGAAGGCAGCAUACUAAAGUGUGACUGACAUUGAGGCACGAAAGUGUGGGUAUCAAACAGGAUUAGAUACCCGAGUAGUC